AGAUUCGCUCUUUCAAUAACCGGAUUGAUUUAACUGUAAUAUCCCAUCGCUAGAGUUGGGUGGUAGUUUUAGCUACAAGUUUCAUGGCCAUGGUUACGUGAAACGUAGUGCUGGUGUCAGAUAGGUCAAUAACCCGUUUGGCAUUGAAAAGAAUGUUCAAUUUACGCUAGAAAUAUCUGCUUCGUUCGUCAAUGAAUUGCAAAUUUCUUUUUCUACAGCUGAGCGUACGAAAAUUCGUAACUGAUGUGUGUGGUGUGUCGGAAAUAUCCACUUUUGGAAUUGGCCAUGGGCAUGGAGAGAUGGUUUCCUGUCUCCAUAUUAAAUUUCCCAUAAGGGGUUGUCCGCUUUUUUAACGAUCAGAGGAUUUUCCAGUGUGCCGCUAGAUGGCGUUUGAUUGUUUUGAAAAUGACGAAAUGUGUGAACGAGUUAUGUCAUCUUCUUUUCUGGUUUGUGUUUGAAUUUUGCUGUUUUACUGCCAAAAAUCAACCAAUUAUAUACAUAAAAUGUACCUGCCGUCUGGUCAUCAGAUUAAUUUGGACCCCAUUUUAAGAAAAAAUUGCUCAACACUUCUGUAACUCACACCCCCAGCUUCAUCUGCAUCAUCCUCUCACAUCUUAGUCAAAACUUUGAGCUGUUUUUCCCAAAAGUUGUGGCGUUGGAUGUACAAUUACAGGUUCAUUCUUGCCUGAAAGAUGUUUACACCUUUGAACACUUUUUGUGGAGUUGUUGCAUCAUGAAAUUGUAUUGCAUUGCUGCCAUUCUCUUCAUCUCCCACUUCACAGCUACAAGAAAUGAGUAAUAGGAAGCCUACAACAGA